GGCAGCCUUGGAUGACACGCGAGAAGUCCCGUAGGUUGAAGGUGUAAUGAGACUUCGCUGGAGUCGGAAGCAGAUUCGCCAUGGCUUUCUUAUACACCUUCAAGAAAGAAAAUGUAGAAGAACUCACUUCCAUCAUGGCUGUGACUAUCUGGUUGCCCACAAUGACAAACUCAGGUGCCGAAGGAAUCGGGAAGUUACAGCAUUCCUUCCACCACCAGGGGGACCCAUCGCUGCGAUGAACUGAACAUCCACAAGGCUGAUUUUGGAGGUGUCCUUCAGGUCGUACCUGUGGUGACAAAGCAUUCUCACCUCAACAAAAAGCUUUGUUUUUCUUCUCAUACUGACAUUGUCAGAAUACUUUUUAUUACAUCCUUGCAUGCGAUAUUUUCAGUUGGCCUUAGAAAACGG